rfam:Mus musculus chromosome 8, GRC primary reference assembly.
GGCCUUAAGUGAUGGAGACAUACCCUGGGAGGCCCAUGACCGGACUGGGAUGUAUUCGUACUGUCUGAUGGGGCU